UUAAUACUCCCUCGGUUCCAAAAUUCUUGUCUUAGAUUUUUCUAGAUAUGAAUGUAUCUAGAUAUUAACACGUGCCUAGAUACAUCCGUAUCUAGACAAAUCCAAGACAAUAAUUUUGAGACGGAAGAAGUAUAUU
rfam:Hordeum vulgare subsp. vulgare, WGS project CAJW01000000 data, contig: morex_contig_1582805